rnacentral:lncRNA from 1 species
GCCUUCACACUCUAUGCCCUGGAAUUGGAAUUCGAGCCUUUGUACUUCCGGUGGCCGUCACCAUUCUUGGCUAGUAUGGUUUCAGUUCUUAUAUGUCAAGCACUGCAUACAACUUUGCACGCAUAUACAUAAUGUUUGCUAUUUUACUAAAAUAGUAAAAAUGGUUAACCUGCUGUUCAUAUAGCUACGAGUUUGGUGGCUUCCAGCAGCAGUAUAUUAUGAAAUUGCUAGCUUGGAAAAAAUGUUGGUAAAUGAAGUUUAAUUUGGCUUUUAAACAGGCGACGAUGCCCUCCCUCCAGAGUAAAGAAACCAUCUAUGAUACCAUGCGGAGAGGGUUGAGAGUUGCAUAUUUGAUCACUGAAGUAUUUUCAAGCCUCACUGGACUGGAACUUCUUCAGUAAUUAGGAAUUUCAUUUCAGAUUUCAGUUUGCUAAUUUGGUUGAAGCUCUUAUUUAUUUGAUGAAGAUUAUAUGUGAAUGUACGUGUUUUUCAUUAGGUUUUAAAUAUGUUAUCGAGUGAAUGAGUAAC